rnacentral:rRNA from 2 species
GCAUAUACAUGCAGUCGAACGAACUCUGGUAUUGAUUGGUGCUUGCAUCAUGAUUUACAUUUGAGUGAGUGGCGAACUGGUGAGUAACACGUGGGAAACCUGCCCAGAAGCGGGGGAUAACACCUGGAAACAGAUGCUAAUACCGCAUAACAACUUGGACCGCAUGGUCCGAGCUUGAAAGAUGGCUUCGGCUAUCACUUUUGGAUGGUCCCGCGGCGUAUUAGCUAGAUGGUGGGGUAACGGCUCACCAUGGCAAUGAUACGUAGCCGACCUGAGAGGGUAAUCGGCCACAUUGGGACUGAGACACGGCCCAAACUCCUACGGGAGGCAGCAGUAGGGAAUCUUCCACAAUGGACGAAAGUCUGAUGGAGCAACGCCGCGUGAGUGAAGAAGGGUUUCGGCUCGUAAAACUCUGUUGUUAAAGAAGAACAUAUCUGAGAGUAACUGUUCAGGUAUUGACGGUAUUUAACCAGAAAGCCACGGCUAACUACGUGCCAGCAGCCGCGGUAAUACGUAGGUGGCAAGCGUUGUCCGGAUUUAUUGGGCGUAAAGCGAGCGCAGGCGGAAGAACCUUACCAGGUCUUGACAUACUAUGCAAAUCUAAGAGAUUAGACGUUCCCUUCGGGGACAUGGAUACAGGUGGUGCAUGGUUGUCGUCAGCUCGUGUCGUGAGAUGUUGGGUUAAGUCCCGCAACGAGCGCAACCCUUAUUAUCAGUUGCCAGCAUUAAGUUGGGCACUCUGGUGAGACUGCCGGUGACAAACCGGAGGAAGGUGGGGAUGACGUCAAAUCAUCAUGCCCCUUAUGACCUGGGCUACACACGUGCUACAAUGGAUGGUACAACGAGUUGCGAACUCGCGAGAGUAAGCUAAUCUCUUAAAGCCAUUCUCAGUUCGGAUUGUAGGCUGCAACUCGCCUACAUGAAGUCGGAAUCGCUAGUAAUCGCGGAUCAGCAUGCCGCGGUGAAUACGUUCCCGGGCCUUGUACACACCGCCCGUCACACCAUGAGAGUUUGUAAUACCCAAAGUCGGUGGGGUAACCUUUUAGGAACCAGCCGCCUAAGGUU